GAUGAAUAACGUAGCGAAAUGCGAUACGUAGUGUGAAUUGCAGAAUUCAGUGAAUCAUCGAAUCUUUGAACGCACAUUGCACCUCUCGGUAUUCCGGGAGGUAUGCCUGUUCGAGCGUCAUUUGUACCCUCAAGCUCUGCUUGGUGUUGGGUGUUUGUUCCGCCUCUGUGUGUGAACUCGCCUCAAAACAAUUGGCAGCCGGCGUACUUGUUUCGGAGCGCAGCACAUUUUGCGAUCCAGAUCAACGUACAGCGGCAUCCAAGAAGCCUUAUUUAACGCUCUUGACCUCGGAUCAGGUAGGGAUACCCGCUGAACUUAAGCAUAUCAAUAAGCGGAGGA
rnacentral:misc_RNA from 1 species